rnacentral:misc_RNA from 1 species
UAACAAUCAAAUGGGAAGGAAGCAUCUAUUACACUGGUUGAGAUGCAGCUAACGAAACUUCUCCAUGUGAGUAGAGAUACAGAUAAGCUGUCAUGCUUGUCGGCACAAUCAUCGUCAUCCAAGUAGCACACUUCCAAAUUUCUCUGUGAGAGAGAUGAUUCUGAUCAAGGUCAAAAAUUUUAGAGUAGUUGACAUUAGCCUGUGCAAAAACCCAUAGGUUUAUGCCCCAAAACCAAACCAUCAUGGUCAUAAGGAGAAGAGGAUUGUAAUAGAGAAAAGCCUCAUAUAGGAAUAGAUCGCGAAGGUUUGCGCUCAUUCUCAUGACUGAAUCCCAGCUGAUCUUGCAACAACUGACACCCCAAAUGAGGAACAGAAGUACCUUAAAUCUCCACAAAAGAACAGGAGAUGGCAUUAUGGCCGCGGUGCUCAAAGGUGCAGUUACACCCUUCAUUUCAUUGACCUCUAUGCUGUGCAAUAGGGCUUCUACAGGACUCCCUCCAAGCUCAACCGUACCAAUAUCAGAAACAACCGCUCGACUUCCAGACCUUCGUAGAUGUGGACUGUUAACAGGAGCAUCCACAAGACUCCCAAACAUAGAUGAACGGAAGCAGAGAAUGAGUAUGAUAAUUUAA